UGCNAGUCGAACGCAGUAGCAAUACUGAGUGGCAGGCGGGUGAGUAACAUGUGGGAAUCUGCCUUGUGGUUCAGGACAACAUUGGGAAACCGAUGCUAAUACUGGAUAAGCCCUUACGGGGAAAGUUUUAAUGCCAUAAGAUGAGCCCGCAUUUGAUUAGUUAGUUGGUGAGGUAAUGGCUCACCAAGACAAUGAUCAAUAGCUGAUCUGGGAGGAUGAUCAGCCACACUGGGACUGAGACACGGCCCAGACUCCUACGGGAGGCAGCAGUGGGGAAUCUUGCACAAUGGAGGAAACUCUGAUGCAGCGAUGCCGCGUGAGUGAAGAAGGCCUUUGGGUUGUAAAGCUCUUUUGUAGGGGAAGAUAAUGACUGUACCCUAAGAAUAAGGUCCGGCUAACUUCGUGCCAGCAGCCGCGGUAAUACGAAGGGACCUAGCGUAGUUCGGAAUUACUGGGCGUAAAGCGCGCGUAGGCCGUUGAGUUAGUUAAUUGUGAAAUCCCAAAGCUUAACUUUGGAACUGCAAUUAAAACUGCUCGACUAGAGUUUGAUAGAGGAAAGCGGAAUACAUAGUGUAGAGGUGAAAUUCGUAGAUAUUAUGUAGAACACCAGUUGCGAAGGCGGCUUUCUGGAUCAACACUGACGCUGAGGCGCGAAAGUAUGGGUAGCAAAGAGGAUUAGAUACCCUCGUAGUCCAUACCAUAAACGAUGAUUGCUAGAUGUUGGAAAUUUAUUUUCAGUAUCGCAGCUAACGCAUUAAGCAAUCCGCCUGGGGAGUACGACCGCAAGGUUAAAACUCAAAUGAAUUGACGGGGACCCGCACAAGCGGUGGAGCAUGUGGUUUAAUUCGAAGAUACGCGCAGNANCNUUACCNACCCUUGACAUGUCUGUC
rnacentral:rRNA from 1 species